GUUGAACGCUGGCGGCAGGCCUAACACAUGCAAGUCGAGCGAGCGGCGGACGGGUGAGUCAUGUAUGGGGACUGCCCGAUAGAGGGGGAUAACUACUGGAAACGGUGGCUAAUACCGCAUACUAUCGGAUGACCCCUAUGGGGUUAGCUGGUAGGUGGGGUAAAGGCUCACCUAGGCGACGAUCGCUAGCUGGUCUGAGAGGAGGAUCAGCCACAUGGGGACUGAGACACGGCCCAGAUGCCUACGGAGGCAGCAGUGGGGAAUAUGGCACAAUGGGCGCGAGCCUGAUGCAGCCAGGCCGCGUGUAUGAAGAAGGCCUUAGGGUUGUAAAGUACGUUCAGCGGGGAGGCGUUACCCGCAGAAGAAGCACCGGCUAACUCCGUGCCAGCAGCCGCGGUAAUAC
rnacentral:rRNA from 1 species